rnacentral:rRNA from 1 species
AUUGAACGCUGGCGGCAUGCCUUACACAUGCAAGUCGAACGGUAACAGGUUAAGCUGACGAGUGGCGAACGGGUGAGUAAUGUAUCGGAACGUGCCCAGUCGUGUGGGAUAACUGCUCGAAAGAGCAGCUAAUACCGCAUACGACCUGAGGGUGAAAGCGGGGGAUCGCAAGACCUCGCGCGAUUGGAGCGGCCGAUAUCAGAUUAGGUAGUUGGUGAGGUAAAGGCUCACCAAGCCGACGAUCUGUAGCUGGUCUGAGAGGACGACCAGCCACACUGGGACUGAGACACGGCCCAGACUCCUACGGGAGGCAGCAGUGGGGAAUGUUGGACAAUGGGCGCAAGCCUGAUCCAGCCAUGCCGCGUGCGGGAAGAAGGCCUUCGGGUUGUAAACCGCUUUUGUCAGGGAAGAAAAGGUUCUGGCUAAUACCUGGGACUCAUGACGGUACCUGAAGAAUAAGCACCGGCUAACUACGUG